GUGAUGCGGUAGCUACAGGCGACGACGGGUAGCCGGCCUGAGAGGGUGACCGGCCACACUGGGACUGAGAUACGGCCCAGACUCCUACGGGAGGCAGCAGUGGGGAAUAUUGCACAAUGGGCGCAAGCCUGAUGCAGCGACGCCGCGUGAGGGAUGACGGCCUUCGGGUUGUAAACCUCUUUCAGCAGGGACGAAGCGCAAGUGACGGUACCUGUAGAAGAAGGACCGGCCAACUACGUGCCAGCAGCCGCGGUAAUACGUAGGGUCCGAGCGUUGUCCGGAAUUACUGGGCGUAAAGAGCUCGUAGGUGGUUUGUCGCGUUGUUCGUGAAAACUCACAGCUCAACUGUGAGCUUGCGGGCGAUACGGGCAGACUAGAGUACUGCAGGGGAGACUGGAAUUCCUGGUGUAGCGGUGGAAUGCGCAGAUAUCAGGAGGAACACCGGUGGCGAAGGCGGGUCUCUGGGCAGUAACUGACGCUGAGGAGCGAAAGCGUGGGGAGCGAACAGGAUUAGAUACCCUGGUAGUCCACGCCGUAAACGGUGGGUACUAGGUGUGGGUUUCCUUCCUUGGGAUCCGUGCCGUAGCUAACGCAUUAAGUACCCCGCCUGGGGAGUACGGCCGCAAGGCUAAAACUCAAAGAAAUUGACGGGGGCCCGCACAAGCGGCGGAGCAUGUGGAUUAAUUCGAUGCAACGCGAAGAACCUUACCUGGGUUUGACAUGCACAGGACGCUGGUAGAGAUAUCAGUUCCCUUGUGGCCUGUGUGCAGGUGGUGCAUGGCUGUCGUCAGCUCGUGUCGUGAGAUGUUGGGUUAAGUCCCGCAACGAGCGCAACCCUUGUCUCAUGUUGCCAGCACGUAAUGGUGGGGACUCGUGAGAGACUGCCCGGGGUCAACUCGGAGGAAGGUGGGGGAUGACGUCAAGUCAUCAUGCCCCUUAUGUCCAGGGCUUUCACACAUGCUACAAUGGGCCGGUACAAAGGGCUGCGAUGCCCGUGAGGUGAGCGGAUCAUUAAAGCCGGUCUCAGUUCGGAUCGGGGUCUGCAACUCGACCCCGUGAAAGUCGGGAGGUCCGCCUAGGUAUAUUCGCAGAGAUUCGACGAAG
rnacentral:rRNA from 1 species